rnacentral:lncRNA from 1 species
UUACUCCCCUGCUGGUGCCUCCCUCCUUGGCGCGCUUCCCACCUGCGAUCGGCGCCCUCUUCGCAGUCACGAACUCGCCAGCAGCUAGCAGCACUGACUAGUAGGAGGGCCCGCCGGAGGAGAGCCGCGCGGCCCACAGAAGCGGAACGCGCGUCGAGAGCGCCCUGUCCGCUCGCCCCAGACAGAUGCCCGGUUAUUCAUUACCGCGAGGCCUAGAGGAAAGAGUGGCUGCCGUCUUCCUGCCCACAGCCCGCCGGACCCUCCGUCGCGGCUGCCCGGUCCCCGGAGCCGCAGCCGCCGAGCCCGGCUGUGCGUGUCGUGGCUGCUGGGGAGAAAGAGGCUUCCGGAAGCCCCAGAGAGAUUGGUGAGGGUGAUUUCCCAGGAAGACGCAGUGUGCUCUGACUUCUGUGACAGUGAGCAACGGGACCAGUGGAUGUCCAGAUGCUGGCAAUGAGACAUGCUCUGGAGUCAGAAGACAGCGAAAAGAGAAGCAGAAGCCCCGGUGGCAAGAGUCUGAAGCAGGAAGGAUGACUGUAGCCUGUGGAUUGUACUGCAGUAGGAAACUGUCCUAGCAAGGCUCCACUUUGCCCCAGCUUCAAGCUGGAAAGGAGGAGAACAUGAAACAUUGCUUGAAGACAAUGGCCGAGACAGCAGGUCCCACCCUGCACAGCCACCAGCAUCUCUCCCCUCAGCCCUGUCUCCUCUUCUGCAGUUGGGAUCUGCACAUUUAAGCCUGAAAUUGUCCUGUGAAGUGAAGUAUGAUCGGACAGCCUCUUUUCAGCUUUUAUGACAAUGGAGACAGAGGAAUUGUGGCUCUUGCCAAGGUCACAGGAUUGGAAUACAGAGCCAAGCCACCCCAGGACAUGCAAGAGCCUCAGAAGGGAAAAAAGCCCAGCAGGAAGGGAGAACAAGUAGCCUCUGUCCUGAAGUUGUAACAGCCAGGGGCCAGGAUGGAGGAGGAGGACCCCAUAAUCUGCCCAUCUGGGACUUGGCAGGGGACCUGGGAAAAUGUACCCCAACCCAUCCCUUAAGGGCCUUUGUCUUUGGCCCAUUGGCCUAGCAUCUACUUCUUCACCGUGUCUGUUCUUGUCACACCUAGUCAGGUCUGUUUGGGUCUGAGGUGCAUGGAACAUUCUGGGUAGGCCUCCAGCAAACGGAAGCUCUUCACCGUGUUUCCAGCCUGGGACCAAGGGCAGCAUACUGGCAAAGUUGCCAAAGCAAGGGACUCCAGCCUCUUAGGAGUUAAUGACUCCCUCUCCCCAGCUGUCCUCCCCUUGGUGCUCCUCUUCCUCCCUCCUCCUGCUCACAGCAGGCAGGGCCUAGACCCGGGAGCCAUGCUGCUGUGCUGUUGCCAGGGGAGCACGGAGGCAGAUCUGAGCUAUGCAGGGAAAAGGCCCAGCCUGUCAAAGUGUCUGAGAUGAACCGCCGCCGUCCCUGUGCAGCUGGGCUCAGACGUGUCUCAGCUCUUGUUCUGUGCCUGAGAAUGGCGAAACCCAGUGAGGUUCAAGGGCAAACUCGCUAUUCAUUAGUCAGGGGUUCUUGACGUCCCGUCUCUCCCAGGGAUGAGUUCCCCCCUCCUCUUUCUCCCCCUCCUAUGACACAUUCCUGGGUGCCUUUGGUGAGGACUGCACACCCUCCUCCUGCCUAGCCCCCUCUCCAAAGGCCCCUGAAUAAACUCCCCCCAAGGAGACCAGGCAGGGCAGAGACAAUGGCUGCAGGAAAUCAUUCAGGCGGGACAUGCUGGCCUGCCCUCCACCCAGUCCCCCUGUGGGCCCCACUCCCUUCUGAUUCAGGGCACCCUUGGGCCCCCAGCCUAUACAGGCCUGGACAGGAAGAAACCACUGGGAACCACCCUAAGGACAACAUGCUAGUCCAGUGCCAUUCUUCGCUGGCUCUGUGGGUGCCUUUGUGGCCUGUACCGACUGGCUGGCUAAUUUUGUGGUUUCUGUACCAUCACAUGCCUAUUUUAAGACACUCUCCAGCACUGUCGGUUAGGGAGUGUAAAUUUUGCAAUAUUUUCUGAAAUGUGGCAAUAUCAAAAUGUAAAAGGCACACAUACUUGGUCACAAACAAAUGGCACUAUUUACUCUGUGGGCAUAUUUGUAAAAGUUGCCAAAGAAUUAUAUACAAGGAUGUUCAUCAGAGCAUUUCUUUUGAAGAGUAAAGAAAUGGACAUGAACCUGUGGUCCGUUCAUACGGUGGAAUACCUAUGCAGCUGUAAAAAUCAGUGUGGUAGAUCUCCGUAUAUGAGUUGAUGUGGAAGGUUGGCCAGUUCACAUGAUAAGGUGAAUAGAAUAAGUUACAGAACAGGCUGUAGAGUAUGAUCUUAUUUGUAGAUGUUUAAAACUGAGUCAUAAGUAUGCUUAUAUACAGAUCGUUUCUGGAAGUAUGUACUGGAAGUCUACCUCUGGGGAGUGGGGAUGGGGGAGUGCACUCUUCUAUACUGUUAUAUUUUCUUUUCAUGCUCCUAAGGUACUUUUAUUGGAAGAUGUAAAGCGGUUCAAUGUAAUAGGCUUAACUUCUGUCAACUAAGUUGGCGUGGGUGCUUUAAGAGGGUGGUAGUGAUGUUGCUGGAGAAAGUAUCCCACAGUCACUGGUGGCUUCAGCCACGGGCCAUUUUGGGGCCUAAUAAUCACAUAUCAUCAUGGUUGCUAGUGUUAAUCGAAAACCUACUAAGUGCCAGGCUUACUGUCUCUGGGUCUUGCUUACGUGGAUGUCAUUUUUCCAGUUGCACCAAAUCGAAAGAGGUUAAUUGGUUUGUUGGAGUUCCUUUGUAGGUGAAGGGCAGAGCCAGGAGCUUGGCUAGGGACAGGGGAGGUGAGUGGGGGAUGGUGGAUAGGUCUUGGCUCCCAGUUUCCUUCUGGGCAGACAUUGCCCCUCUGCCCUGAGGACCUGCUUGUUUGGGGGAAGAGGCCUUUAGAGGCACCAGGGUCAUGCCAGGUGUUGGACAUGGUGAACUGGGAAGUGCUCCCAUCUGGCCACAGCGCAGAAGUAUCACCGUGCUGGGGGAUGGGGAACAGGGCUGUGAAUGGGCCUAUUUGCAUAAGCAGCAUGUGUCUGGAGAGAAAGACAUCACAGAGCAGAAGAGUGCGGGUGCCCAGGAGUGCACUUGCCACCCCUACUUCAUCCCUGAAAGAGUAAAUGGCCUGGAAGGUGUCUCUGAGAGGUAAUGCCGCACACCACCCUCCCUGGGGGCAGGGUCAGGCUACACCUGCCUUAGGUCGGGGGCUGCAGCAGCCUGAGAGCUCUCAGUAGGGCCUCAGUAGCCUGGGAGGGAGCAGGGGCAGGGGGCAGGGAAAGAGGCGUAAUGGGGCUGUCCAGAGGGGCCUGGGAAACCUGGUCCCUGAGGCCUGGGCACAGCUACAAUCACUUCAAAUUGGCUGUGGGGCCAGUGGACUGGGAAGGAAAAAAGCAAUAAGAGUGACCAAGUGCAGAAGGCUGUCAGGUCCCAGGUCACAUGCCUUAGUGCAGUGACUCCUCAUCAUUUUAUGGGGUGUGGGUGUCGUUGGUACACCCAUUUUACAGAUGAGGACACCGAGGCCCAGAAAAGUUAAGUUACAUGUCCUAAGUCACACAGCUUGUAAGUGCCAGAACUGAGAUCAAAACCAAGUCUCUUUGACUUUAAAGUCUGUACUCUGACCCCAAAGAGAUCCUGUUUGGCCACUUAUAGGAGGUCCCUAAAGCUGCAGACUCCCCUUGCCGGCACCCACAUAUAGAGACAUUAACCCUUCCCCUGCAGGGUCACCUCAAAUAGUCUUUUAGCUGGGCUUCUCCUGCAAUUCCACCUAAUGCCAUCCCCUGGGUUUUGCCCAAACCUGAACUGGGCAGUGGGGUGAGAGGAGGGGUUUACAGGGUUACAGAGCCUCAUACAGAUAGGAGCCCAUGGCUGCUGGUCAUCUGCAUUCCUGCAGGAUUGGCUGUUCCUUGGGGUCCUUGGCAGGAAAAUGAGGAUUGCUCCGAGGCCUGCUCCAGUACUUCCCAGAGGCUGGCCUGGUGUGGGGCUCUGGGAAGGCUGAGGCUGGAGAAGCGUAAGUAGGAGGGCAGAGAUGGCACUCAGGUAGCUUGAAUCACCAGGACCCUUCCAAGCCCCACAGGUUCUGAGGGAGUACUAGGGCCAGCUCUGGGAGAGGUCUCUUCCUAUGCUGUGAACCCCCUGCCUUUCUUGCAGCCUACAACGAAUAAAUUUUCUUUGCAAAGG